AUCCAGCUCACGAGUCCGAAAUAGGACGAAACGAGCAUCCUGGAU
rnacentral:hammerhead_ribozyme from 1 species